GAUGAUGCCCAGCUUGCUGGGCGGAUUAGUGGCGAACGGGUGAGUAAUACGUGAGUAACCUGCCCUUGACUCUGGGAUAAGCCUGGGAAACUGGGUCUAAUACUGGAUACUACCUCUUGCCGCAUGGUGGGUGGUGGAAAGGGUUUUACUGGUUUUGGAUGGGCUCACGGCCUAUCAGCUUGUUGGUGGGGUAAUGGCUCACCAAGGCGACGACGGGUAGCCGGCCUGAGAGGGUGACCGGCCACACUGGGACUGAGACACGGCCCAGACUCCUACGGGAGGCAGCAGUGGGGAAUAUUGCACAAUGGGCGGAAGCCUGAUGCAGCGACGCCGCGUGAGGGAUGACGGCCUUCGGGUUGUAAACCUCUUUCAGUAGGGAAGAAGCGAGAGUGACGGUACCUGCAGAAGAAGCGCCGGCUAACUACGUGCCAGCAGCCGCGGUAAUACGUAGGGCGCAAGCGUUGUCCGGAAUUAUUGGGCGUAAAGAGCUCGUAGGCGGUUUGUCGCGUCUGCUGUGAAAGCCCGGGGCUCAACCCCGGGUCUGCAGUGGGUACGGGCAGACUAGAGUGCAGUAGGGGAGACUGGAAUUCCUGGUGUAGCGGUGAAAUGCGCAGAUAUCAGGAGGAACACCGAUGGCGAAGGCAGGUCUCUGGGCUGUUACUGACGCUGAGGAGCGAAAGCAUGGGGAGCGAACAGGAUUAGAUACCCUGGUAGUCCAUGCCGUAAACGUUGGGCACUAGGUGUGGGGGACAUUCCACGUUUUCCGCGCCGUAGCUAACGCAUUAAGUGCCCCGCCUGGGGAGUACGGCCGCAAGGCUAAAACUCAAAGGAAUUGACGGGGGCCCGCACAAGCGGCGGAGCAUGCGGAUUAAUUCGAUGCAACGCGAAGAACCUUACCAAGGCUUGACAUUCACCGGACCGCCUCAGAGAUGGGGUUUCCCUUCGGGGCUGGUGGACAGGUGGUGCAUGGUUGUCGUCAGCUCGUGUCGUGAGAUGUUGGGUUAAGUCCCGCAACGAGCGCAACCCUCGUUCUAUGUUGCCAGCACGUGAUGGUGGGGGACUCAUAGGAGACUGCCGGGGUCAACUCGGAGGAAGGUGGGGAUGACGUCAAAUCAUCAUGCCCCUUAUGUCUUGGGCUUCACGCAUGCUACAAUGGCCGGUACAAAGGGUUGCGAUACUGUGAGGUGGAGCUAAUCCCAAAAAGCCGGUCUCAGUUCGGAUUGAGGUCUGCAACUCGACCUCAUGAAGUCGGAGUCGCUAGUAAUCGCAGAUCAGCA
rnacentral:rRNA from 1 species